rnacentral:rRNA from 1 species
GACGAACGCUGGCGGCGUGCUUAACACAUGCAAGUCGAACGGAAAGGCCUUUUCGGAGGUACUCGAGUGGCGAACGGGUGAGUAACACGUGGGUGAUCUGCCCUGCACUCUGGGAUAAGCCUGGGAAACUGGGUCUAAUACCGGAUAGGACCGCACUUUAGUGUGUGUGGUGGAAAGUUUUUUCGGUGUAGGAUGAGCCCGCGGCCUAUCAGCUUGUUGGUGGGGUAAUGGCCUACCAAGGCGGCGACGGGUAGCCGGACUGAGAGGUUGGUCGGCCACAUUGGGACUGAGAGACGGCCCAGACUCCUACGGGAGGCAGCAGUGGGGAAUAUUGCACAAUGGGCGCAAGCCUGAUGCAGCGACGCCGCGUGGGGGAUGACGGCCUUCGGGUUGUAGACUCCUUUCGCCAGGGACGAAGCGUUUUGUGACGGUACCUGGAGAAGAAGCACCGGCUAACUACGUG